CAGAAUAGAGAAAACAUAUUUUAAAAUUUCAUGCUUACAUGAAAUGCAACACAUCACAAACCUAUCACAUAAGGAUGGUAUUGUCACCUCUAGUCCUCUACAUUCCAAAAUGCCGGGACGUAGAAUGGGUACAACCGGACUUCCUCUUACUAUAACAUAACAUAACAUUCCAAUAUGCCAGGGACGUAGAAUGGGUACAACCUGGUCUUUCUCUUACUCUGGCCGGGACGUAGAAUGGGUACAACCGGCAACCAUACCAUAACAUGCCUCAUCAUAACAUAUCAAGGACUAAAGGAUCAUUCAAUGCCCAUCCACAACAUCAUCAAAUAUGCAAUGCAACAUAUUUGUGGAAUCUAAUGCAAACAACCUAAAAUAUCAUAUGGCAUUCAUGAUGCAUGGGUCAUGCUCAAAAUUCAUAUUUCAUUAAUUUAAACUUAAGGUUUAUUCCACUCACCUCUGGCUAGCUCAG
rnacentral:lncRNA from 1 species